rnacentral:rRNA from 1 species
CCGAAAGGCAGGAGUGCCUGCAAGGGAGCGCGGAGACAGGUGGUGCAUGGCUGUCGUCAGCUCGUGUCGUGAGAUGUUGGGUUAAGUCCCGCAACGAGCGCAACCCUCACCUCUUGUUGCCAUCAGGUCAUGCUGGGCACUCUAGAGGAACUGCCCCGGUCAACGGGGAGGAAGGCGGGGAUGACGUCAAGUCAUCAUGCCCCUUACGUCCUGGGCUACACACGUGCUACAAUGGCCGGUACAAAGGGAAGCCACACCGCGAGGUAGAGCUAAACCCAAAAAGCCGGUCUAAGUUCGGAUUGGAGUCUGCAACUCGACUCCAUGAAGGAGGAAUCGCUAGUAAUCGCGUAUCAGCACGACGCGGUGAAUACGUUCCCGGGCCUUGUACACACCGCCCGUCACACCACGAAAGCCAG